UAGGGAAUCUUCCGCAAUGGACGAAAGUCUGACGGAGCAACGCCGCGUGUAUGAUGAAGGUCUUCGGAUUGUAAAGUACUGUCAUUGGGGAAGAACGGUUUUCUUGAAAAGAUUGAGAAGACAUGACGGUACCCAAGGAGGAAGCCCCGGCUAACUACGUGCCAGCACCGCGGUAAUACGUAGGGGGCAAGCGUUGUCCGGAAAUUAUUGGGCGUAAAGGGCGCGUAGGCGGGCCUUUAAGUCCGGUGUGAAAGAUCAGGGCUCAACCCUGAGAGUGCAUCGGAAACUGGAGGCCUUGAGGACAGGAGAGGAAAGUGGAAUUCCACGUGUAGCGGUGAAAUGCGUAGAUAUGUGGAGGAACACCAGUGGCGAAGGCGACUUUCUGGACUGUAACUGACGCUGAGGCGCGAAAAGCGUGGGGAGCAAACAGGAUUAGAUACCCUGGUAGUCCACGCCGUAAAGAUGAGCUGCUAGGUGUAGAGGGUAUCGACCCCUUCUGUGCCGCAGUUAACACAAUAAGGCACUCCCGCCUGGGGAGUACGGCC
rnacentral:rRNA from 1 species